UACGUAGGGUGCAAGCGUUGUCCGGAAUUAUUGGGCGUAAAGAGCUCGUAGGCGGUUUGUUGCGUCGGCUGUGAAAACCUGAGGCUCAACCUCAGGCCUGCAGUCGAUACGAGCAGACUAGAGUGUUGCAGGGGAGACUGGAAUUCCUGGUGUAGCGGUGGAAUGCGCAGAUAUCAGGAGGAACACCGAUGGCGAAGGCAGAUCUCUGGGCCGUUACUGACGCUGAGGAGCGAAAGCGUGGGGAGCGAACAGG
rnacentral:rRNA from 1 species